UUGUGGAUACGCGACGGGUGGAUCGCUUCGUAUUUUUCGGGAUUGUGUUGUAAAAAUUAAUCUCUCGCGUGAAAAAUCAUCGUCAUAAAAUAAGGUCGAGAAUACUAACGCGGACGAUAAUAUUUCGAUACAGUGCAUAAAGCGUAGGUGGAUAUAUUAAUGACAGACGGGAAACAUAGAUCGCAGCAGCGUUUCGGUAGCGGCUGGCGGGCGACGGAGUGGGGGGGAGAUGCGUGCGCAGGCCAAGGUAAAGACGGCGGAGCGCGCGCGACGUCAGUGCGAGGAGGACCGUCGACGUGUGGGGUGCGCGUGAGUGCGAGCGAGAGUGAUCGUGCGGGUAGAGCGGGGAGAUCGGGACGAGGGCGAGCGUGCGCAGAGUCGCGGCGUGGUAGAGGAAAGGCGGUGAGUUUGUUUAUCGCCUUGGUGAACGGUGAGAACAGUCAGUGUGCGAUGCUACGCUCGGUGCGCUACACCCAGUGGUAGCGGGACGCGCGCGCGAUCGGGUUCGCUAUCGGGUAGGAAAUUCGGGUCGCGUCUCUCUCUCUUCUCAUCUACUUCCUCCUCUCUUUUUCUCUUCUCCGUUUUUUCGGAUAAUAAGCGCGAGUGCGAACUAUAUCGUUUUUCUUUUUGUCCGUCCUCUCGUCAUCGGUAGCCUGAUCGGUCCCUUCGUCAAGAGGCUUUCCAAGUCGAUCGUGUGUCGCCGGAAGAGAAACAUGUCACAGUGCAAACAGAUAGAAGCCUCUUCCGUGAUACGUCGUGCUUCGAUCUGGUGACAUUGCCGUGUCCUCUCGAGAGCUUGCGACGCAUAACCUCUCCUUCCCCUGCGAGUCUGUCAUCGACUGCGGAAGAACGGGCGUCUGUUACAUCGGGAUAAGAGGAUAAGACUAGCCCCGGCACCGCCGUCUCGCUGACAACGAGGACGACGACGAGCGAAACUUGCAGCACCGUCUUCAUCCCGUGACACGACUUCAUCCGUCAGCCCUCGUCGCGUUCGUCUUUCCCCGAGGCCGGCGAAUCCUCGCGGAAAUAAAGUGCGCGCAUCCGAUGCGAGACUCGCGAGUUGCGUCGAGAAACGUGAUCGAUCGAUCGCGUGAGAUCGCCCGCUCGAUCGUAAAUUAAAUCGCGAGAUUCGUUGUACGCGCGACACGUGCUUUCUAACGUCCCGAAACGUCAGUCGCGACGUCACGCGCUCCAUCAGUGUCGGAUAAUAUCGUCCGCGACGAUUAUAGGACCCGUCGUCGUCAC